CGACCCCGUGCGGGAGAGACCCCACACCGCCAGUGUGGGGCGCCGAAGGGGCAACCCUCCCCGGAACCUCUCAGGCAAAAGGACCGUGCGGGCGAG
rnacentral:ncRNA from 2 species